rnacentral:rRNA from 1 species
AGUGAACGCUGGCGGUAGGCCUAACACAUGCAAGUCGAACGGCAGCACAGUAAGAGCUUGCUCUUACGGGUGGCGAGUGGCGGACGGGUGAGGAAUACAUCGGAAUCUACUUUUUCGUGGGGGAUAACGUAGGGAAACUUACGCUAAUACCGCAUACGACUUACGGGUGAAAGCAGGGGAUCUUCGGACUUUGCGCGAUUGAAGGAGCCGAUGUCGGAUUAGCUAGUUGGCGGGGUAAAGGCCCACCAAGGCGACGAUCCGUAGCUGGUCUGAGAGGAUGAUCAGCCACACUGGAACUGAGACACGGUCCAGACUCCUACGGGAGGCAGCAGUGGGGAAUAUUGGACAAUGGGCGCAAGCCUGAUCCAGCCAUACCGCGUGGGUGAAGAAGGCCUUCGGGUUGUAAAGCCCUUUUGUUGGGAAAGAAAAGCAGCAGGUUAAUACCCCGCUGUUCUGACGGUACCCAAAGAAUAAGCACCGGCUAACUUCGUG